rnacentral:rRNA from 1 species
UACGUAGGGGGCGAGCGUUGUCCGGAAUUAUUGGGCGUAAAGAGCUCGUAGGCGGCUUGUCGCGUCGUCCGUGAAAACUUGGGGCUCAACCCCAAGCUUGCGGUCGAUACGGGCAGGCUAGAGUUCGGUAGGGGAGACUGGAAUUCCUGGUGUAGCGGUGAAAUGCGCAGAUAUCAGGAGGAACACCGGUGGCGAAGGCGGGUCUCUGGGCCGAUACUGACGCUGAGGAGCGAAAGCGUGGGGAGCGAACAGG